AUGGCAGAGAAGGGAUUAGCAGUCACUCCCAGGGUUGAGAGACAGGAGUAGUAAGAAGCCUAGGAAACACAAUAGCAAGGGUGAAACCCUAUGGAACUUAGCAGCUAAUUGUAAGAUCCCUAGGCUGGAACCCAAUGUACAGGGCAGUCCUGAGUUCCUUUGCCAGCCCCUGAGCGAGCGGCACAAACAGGGCAGUGGACUUUGAAAACUGCCUAAGGGGGUUUUGUUUAGAAACCCUUUAGAAAGUACCCUGAAAGGAGACAACCUGUAGUGACCUGGCCAGAGGGCAAAGCUAUGAAGAGGAAAUACUGCAGCUUGUUAGCAUGAGGAAAGGCCUCAGUAUAAGACUGGGACAAGGGGCUGAGCAACUUCCAGAAGAAGCAUCAAAUCAGCGAUGAGCUAAUCCCCAGAUGCACCACAAGCAGGUACCACAGUGGUGACUGGAGCCCAUUCCUUCAUAUCUAGUAUAUUCAUUGUUUGGAAAGCAGCAUUCAAGCUGUGAUGGGCCAUGGAGUGUGAGGGGAAACAAUCAACAGUCUUUUGUUCAGUGGCUUGUCUGAUGUCUGUAGACAACACUUCUUGCGCUAUCUCAAAAUAAAAGAGAAGAAAAAUGAAGUUGUAGUGGCAUUUGGUUUGUGAGACAGAUCAAUAGAAGCUGGGAAAUUCAAAGUCAAGGCUGCCACUGUGUCCUUAACCGAACUCUUGGUGCCCUGGGAUUGUAAGGGCUUCAGCUCAGUGUGGGAUCUUAUGUAACACAUGUGCCACAAUACAUAGUGAUGCUGCUCUAAAGUCAGCCCUCGGGUAACUCCACUGACUUCAUUAGACGUACACCAGAAAUGAAUUUGGCUGAAGAGACAAGUCAUGGACAGUGUGCCAGCUCUAACGUUGCAAUUCUGCUAUUGUUUGUCCAUGUCACAGUAUUGUUAAUCUGUUUUUGUUUGUUUGUUUUUUUUCCUGAUUAAAAUAGCUGAUUGAUUUAAAUCCACUUUUUAUACUGUUACAGAGAAACAGAAAUGAUCAAGAAAUCCUAAGCAGAUGCUUACUGAGAGGUCUGUCUCUGGCCGCAACUGACCUACAUUUCUCCCAUCUGUUACAAACCUGAUUUAUGGAGAAAUUGAAAUAAAACACUUUCUGGAAAUUUAAAUGUU